CCUAGAAUCCGAGGUAUAUCCCACGCGAGAUUGGGGACGUUCCUCGUAUCCCAGUCUGGACUGGGGUCGAUGGAAGCUCGGAGGUACAUCCUGCGACACAGAGAAGGUUUUGCGAUAAGCUGCGUUCACCUGCUGCAUUAUUGAAGAAGCAUUAUGUCCGGCGUCGAAUAAUUGCUAUGAGAAAUUUAAAAAAUAGCGAUGGAAAUACUCGAGAAAAGUCGUGAAAUUUCGCACACUGUCAAUUUCCUUCAAAUCUUCGGUAGAGAUGGAUGACUCUGGAGAUAGUCCUUAAAUGCUUUUUAGGUAUUCUGAGAAAUCGUAUCAUCUUUGCAACCCAGCGAAGCUUCAGUAAAUUAUUUAAGUCACAUUGAUUGUUAAUUCAUUUGCCGUUUAAAGAUACUUUAUAUCUAUAUUGCACUAGACUUAAGUAUAUUGUAUAUUACAGCAAUUUGAGUUUCAAAAAGGUGUACAAUUAUUGU